rnacentral:rRNA from 1 species
CCUACGGGUGGCUGCAGUGAGGAAUAUUGGUCAAUGGGCGGAAGCCUGAACCAGCCAAGUCGCGUGAGGGAAUAAGGCCCUACGGGUCGUAAACCUCUUUUGCCGGGGAGCAAGGGCCGGGACGAGUCCCGGUCCGGAGAGUACCCGGAGAAAAAGCAUCGGCUAACUCCGUGCCAGCAGCCGCGGUAAUACGGAGGAUGCGAGCGUUAUCCGGAUUUAUUGGGUUUAAAGGGUGCGUAGGCGGGCUUUUAAGUCAGCGGUAAAAAUUCGGGGCUCAACCCCGUCCGGCCGUUGAAACUGGGGGCCUUGAGUGGGCGAGAAGAAGGCGGAAUGCGUGGUGUAGCGGUGAAAUGCAUAGAUAUCACGCAGAACCCCGAUUGCGAAGGCAGCCUGCCAAGCCAUGACUGACGCUGAUGCACGAAAGCGUGGGGAUCAAACAGGAUUAGAUACCCGUGUAGUC